rnacentral:lncRNA from 10 species
AGGCUGAUGAGAAUCGGAUAAUCGCUGGUUGAUGUCUUUGUGAAUUGUGUCAAAUGCUACAUACAGUACAUUAAGAGACAACAGGAGUCCUUCCCAGAGAGGGUGGUCUGGAAGCUUCCAAGGAGGUAGCCCCAGAGCAGGGACCGGAAGGCCUGCUGUAGGUGUGGGGUGUGGGCCUGGCCUGUUGGAGGAGACUGAGGAGGUCUCUUGGUGGCUGGAGCAGAGGGAUGAAGGGGGUAAUCAGAGCAGGAUAGAGAGGUGUUGGGUACGUGAGCAGCAGUGAGGAGUUGGGAUUUGUUCUGGGUAGGAUGGGAGUCACUGGGGAGACAUGGCUGCUGUUCUGAGAUAGACUCUAGGGGCCAGAUGGAUGCAGGGAGCCCAGCGAGGAGGCUCCUGGAGUCACCCAGGUGGGGGAUGUGGGGCCUGGACCAGAGAAUCAGAGCGGCAGUAUGGAG